ensembl:lncRNA
CUUCAACAGGAAAAGGGCGGUGUCUUCUUCACUUUACUUUCAGUUUUCAUUUGACGUGGUGAAAAUGGCCGCUGCUGCAGACCCAGACCACGGAGGAGUGGAACUUGUGGAGAGCGAAGAGCCUUUCAGAACAAAUGCGCUCUUGAUUAUUCUUAAAGCGCUGAAACUGAGUCAUAAUCGUCCACAUAGCUUUGUGUUUGUUGACGAGAUUCUUCACAGUAUCUUCUUUUUGGGGAAUAUCAACACUCCACCACAUUCCCCAAAAGACAUUGUGAAUGUCCCGGAAGUGUUUGAAGCAUUAUUGGACUGCUAUCCUCGACCCUUUAAGCUCUUUUCUUCUCAGGUACCCAAGCGAAGCCCGUUUUCUUGUGUGCUGGACAUGGUUGUCCAGGUGACAAGAGAACAAGAACGAGAACAAGAAGAGAGAAAUAUCAUACGCCAGUUGCGAAAUAUCAUCAAUGAAGUGGAUCCAAGUGGGUCGCGGAAGCUCAUCUCUUCCACCAUCUGUGUCUCUCAGAGGGAAAACUCCCCCCUUUCGACCAGGUACUACGGCGUCUCCAUGUCCACCCAUCGAAGGCAAAUCCCAAUUGGUGCCUCCUGUUUAAGUAACUGGCAGACAUUCGUAGCCAAUGCAGUGAUGACCUACUAUCCACACAUGACCAAGAAGCCAUACUUUGAUGGAACCUUUACACUUAAACCUGAAGUCAGGUGUGUUGCCUUUGACCUCUUGAGAGAACAAGAAGAAGAAAUGGCAGAAGAGGUUGUUAAGCCUCCAUGCAGAUCAUGUGGGAAUUUAUAUGGUUUGGCAACACGUGAAGUCAAAGAGUUUACAUAUGGUAACUGCGCUGAAGCUGAAAGUCUGAGCAACUUAUUAAGAAAUGAACGUGCUUCUACCAUUAUAAGUUCUAGAAGAGAGUACUCCGAGAGGAACCUUCAGAGAGCUAAAACUCAGGUUGAAAACGACUUAAAGUCUUUCCUAAAAAUGCCUCAAGACAUUCGUGUUACAUUUUAUACCCCUGAAACAGAAUAGACUUAAUAAGUGGAAUGAAAAUGCCUCAAACACAACAAAAUAGACUUACUUUUACCAACCAUAUCAAAGCAGUCACCAAUAGAGCCUUCAGUUAACUGUAAAAUAUAACCACAUUCAGGAGUUUUAUGACACAAAAAGACCCAACAGAAGCUCAUCUAUGCUUUCAUCUGCAGUCAGGUUGACUACUGUAAUGAUCUUCUAAGUAGACUUCCCAAAAGAGAUUUAACAGCUGUGACUCUAAAUGCAGGACAGGAGAUGUUCAAGUGCUGCUACCUGUCUACAAACCACUCACCAGUUUAGGUCCAGAAUACAUCUUUGAGAUGAAUAAAAAUGAAUAAAGACAGACCUGAGUUAUAUCUGUUGACUCGGAUCAGAGUCUGAACUAAAUAUGAGGCAUUUAACUGUUCUGCCCCAAAUAACUGAAAACUGUCAGGAGAGCUUGGAUUUACCCCAAAUGUAGACAAGUAACACGUCAUGUUAAAAAAAAAAAAAUGUUACAAAAGACUAUGAUAAAAACCUCCUUCUGAGAAAUACUGUGUAGUCUAAUGGCCUGAAUCAAGAAUUAGAAUAUUGUUUUUUAUUUUUUUAAAUUCCUCCCAUAUAUUGAUUACAUUAUUAUCCUCAUAGCAUAAUUGCCCAAGUUAUAUUUUUGACUAAAUUGUGAUAUCUGCAUUACUUUGCUCUCCUAACACUGCUGCUUCAUUUUGCAUCAUAUGACGUUAAAAAAAUAUGACUUAUGCAGUUAUGCUGUGAGGCUAAGGAUAUGGUGUUUAUGUGCUUUUGUUCUAUUUGUUCUGAUUUUAUGUAUUGCUUGUGUUAAGUUUCAUACUGAUGAUAAUUCAACAGACUUCCUGUGUAGGGUUUUUUAAUUCCUGUUUUCCAGUUCCACCUCAGCUUAGCCUCAUCAAAAUCCUCAUCAUUAUUUUGUAGUUUCAGUCGUUUGUGUCUAAAUGUGACUUCUCCUGUCUAUAAAACCAUUUGUAUUUGCAGAGGUCUGCUGGAGCAAAAUCCUGCUAUAAAUUUGAGCAAUUAGAAUAAUAGAAUAAGCUUUAUUGUCAUUACAAAAUACCUUUGUACAGUGCAGUGAAAUUUAGUUUUACAUUCUGUAAGGUGCUCAAGUAAAAUGCACACAUCAAUCAUACAUUCAAGAAUAAAAAUUUAAGUACAAAACAGUUAAGUAAAAAAUACAAUGUAAGUGUAAAAAACAGUCAAGUAAAAAAACGUCCAUUUAAAAAAAGUUUUUUUUAUUUAUUAAAUAUCUGCUGUAAAAAAUGGCACACACAAACAAAAGUGAGUCCGGUGUCAAAUAUGCAGAAUAUACAGUAAUGACUAUAGUGUUAAGUCUUUUAAGUAAAGUGGGUAGUGCAUUGUCCUGAGUUAUAGCAGCAGAAUACAAUUACAUUAUAAAGUGACUAAAUGAUUAUUUGUUCUGCUUCAGAGCAGCUGCAGCUGUGGGAUAGAUACUGUUACUAUUCCAGUGGGAAUAGCUAAAAAAGAGGUAUUCUUACUCUUUAUGCAGUGCGAUGUAUCUGUAUCGAGCAUCUGGCCCUAUUGUGGUGGGAUGAGCGCAGAACUACACUGUUAAAACUAAAAAAAAAAUUAUUUUUUUUUGAGCCUAUGAUAGAAGUCUAUAACUCACUUAUGACUAUACUUAUUGCAUUGUAGAAGCCAUUUCACAUGUGAUGCAAAAAAAACCAAAAAUAUGCAUGGAAUUUUUCAGUGCAGUUUUGGAGAGGAGGGGAUUACAUGGAGUCAAACCACCUUUUGCAACCAGAAUGAUGUUGUAUGUGUAAUGUGUGUAUACUGUAUCGCCUCAUUUUGGUGUUUUAAGAACAUUUAUGGGCAUCUUUGCAUUGAUACUCUACCUCCUGCCAGUCAGAAAUGGUGGUACACAGUACAUCCAUUACAACCAUCUUUAGCCCUUGUACUGUGAUUCAGAUAUAGAGUCAGUAUUUGGGAGUACUCUGCAACUCAAAUUUCUUUAAAGUCAUGCAGGAACAAGUGGGCUGUCCUGUUCCAAUGGGUGCAGGAUUAUUGUUACUGUCAGGCAGGUCUGGUUUGUUUGAGGAUCACUUCAGGGCUGCGGUUCCUUUAUUGUAAAUGAAAAAGAAAAAAAUGGAUUUGUAUGUUAUGGGUGGGCUCUGUUUAGGUCGUAGGCCAGUCCCUAAACUACCCCUGUCCCGCAUCCACCCCUCUCAGCCUCUUUCCAGCUUUGAAGCACCUUUCCAAAUCAUACAGUUAAUAAUAGUAGACACCUGUUUGGGGUAAAGUUUUAUUUUAUAUCAGUUUUUCUAUUUUUAUUUGUACUUUUUUCACACAUAAAUGUGUAUUUUAUGUAACUCUGCACUACAAGUCUUGUUACUUUGUAACUCUGGAGGAUAUGUAUGCCUCUUAUUAAUUAUACUUUUGUAAAGCACACUGAAUAGCAUUUUUUAAUAAAUAAUAGAACAGUAAUAAGUUACCUACAUGCUUUAUUAUCACGUUAUUAUUCCUACAGAUUCUCUUGGUGCUAAUUUAUUUACUCCUGGAUAAUUAAACUGAAAUUGUACUAAUAUACACAGCAUAGAAUCCAGAUAUACUAGCAGUUUGAAUGAAUUGAGAUGUAUUGGUUAUGUGAUUAUCAAUAAAAUUAAACUGAUGCUUAUCAAAGUUCAUUAUGGUUUUGAUUUUGACUCCUGUUGCACAAUAUUCCCGUAAUACCAUACUUGUAAUUAUCCAGAGGUUUUAUUGCAUCUGGGAGUCAGAGGUUGUGAGGAACUCUAACUUUACCUGUGGUUUUAUUCGUCUCUUAGCUCAUGGUGUGUUGUAUGCACGCUUUGCACGGUACUUCGUCGUCUACCUGGAUUUAUGGAUGAUAUGCCUACAGUGCAAGUUUUGAAGACAUUGUGUUUAAACUGUCUGGUUUUAACUCGUUUAGACAUAUCUGUACAUGUUUUCUUCACUUUUGGAGUCUUACCAGUUAUGGAGAAGGAAUGCUCCAUCUUCCAAUUUUGACCAAUUUUCCUCUGAAUGCCAGAGAGGUUAAAACACAAGGGACAUGUCUUCUUUGACAAAAUAAAAUGGAAAUGUUAGGAUGUAGAACUAUUUCUUCCAGAGAUAAUUUCUACAAAUGGUUUGAUCUUGAUUUAUUUACCACAAAUUACAUUUGUAAUAUCACAUUGUUCCUUUGCUCUUGAAACACUGACACUGAUGCACCACUAGAUGGCAGAACGUCAUUGUUUAGUUCAACUUGAUCAUGAG